rnacentral:lncRNA from 1 species
GCCAGAGAGUGGUGGAGCCACGUGGAAUCUAUUACAAAGAGUGAAGUAGGAUAGUGGCCAUUGUCGUAACAUGCCCGAGAGUUCGGAUCUGACGGCUGAAGCUCGGCUGGGACGUCUGAUGGAGCGGAAUGGCUCUUUGUCUUAGUAAUCCAGGAGAAGCUCGGAUGUUUUUGAGGUUGCUGACGAGUCUACUGUUGUCGGAUGCCUUGGGUGUAGAUGCUACAGGCGAG